rnacentral:rRNA from 1 species
UACGUAGGGGGCUAGCGUUGUCCGGAAUCAUUGGGCGUAAAGAGCGUGUAGGCGGCCCGGUAAGUCCGCUGUAAAAGUCAAAGGCUCAACCUUUGAAUGUCAGUGGAUACUGCCGGGCUAGAGUCCGGAAGAGGCGAGUGGAACUCCUGGUGUAGCGGUGGAAUGCGCAGAUAUCAGGAAGAACACCAACGGGCGAAGGCAGCUCG